CUCGCUUCCCUCCCUCCCUCUCCCUCCCUCCCUUCCUCUCUCGGCUCGCACUUCCCUCCCUUUCUUCCCUUUCCACUGCACUGAAAUACUUCCUCUCUCUUUUUGAGCGGUUUCUCUCUGUUUGUGCCCAUGGAAUCAGAGAAGCGCUUUCCAAGCAGCUCUGCUUCUUCGCCCGCGUGGCCGGAGAGGCUGGUUAGUGAGGCGGAUCGGCUGGUGAGGACAGAGAUUGAAGCGGCGGAGACCCUCGCUGACUUGGCCCGGUUGGCGAUGCUCGAGACUGCCCCUGACUCCGGUGAGAAACGGUGGAAGAAAGGCAAACAAGGCAAGAGGCGGCUAGCGCGCGAGUCACCGACCGAUGACUCGUUGUUGAACGGGCUCGACUCAGUCUCAAAGUGUCCGGAUCUCUCUCGGAACCAAGCUGUUGAAGGUCAUCAGCCACAUCAACAAAUAUCUACAAGUGAACCAAAAAGGAUUCAACAGGAUGUCUGCUCAGGACAAGUGAAGAUGGAGGAGGAUGCUGAUUUAACUAAGACAAGCAUCUUAUGCAGAAGUUACUCUUUGGUUGGCUGCAGCAAGUCAAGGCGUAAUUUAACUGAGGAAGAAAAGGAGGCACGGAGGAUACGCAGGGUAUUGGCAAACAGAGAGUCAGCUAGGCAGACAAUUCGUCGUAGGCAGGCACUUUGUGAGGAGUUAACCAGAAAAGCUGCCAAUUUAGCAGUGGAGAAUGAAAACCUGAAGAGGGAGAAGGAGUUGGCUUUGAAAGAGUAUCAAUCUUUGGAGAACACAAAUAAGCACUUGAAGGCACAAAUAGCCAAGUCUGCAAGUACCAUGGUGGAGAGAACUCCUGAGGAGCAUGACUUGCCUGUAUCUGAGAUAACAUCUUCCUCGAGUAAUGGUCCAUGGUUCCUUUGUGGCCAUUUCCCAGUAACACAGUUAUUUUGGCCUUCUGUCAUCCAGUCUUCAAAUUCUGUUCAAUUUCAGCAUACGCCUCAUAGUUCCACUCCCAUACCAUCAAAUAUUUCUUUACCGUUGUCUUCUGAGACUGACUUAUGUCACAAACAAAAUAACCUUAUACAGGACAAUGAAAUACAAAAUCCAUUAUACCUGUUUCCGUGUCCUUGGUUCUUCCCACCUCCAGAGUCUGGACAUGGACAAGCGCCACCCUCCCUUGGCCUUAAAGAUAAACAAGAUAAGUAUCCUGUAGGUAAACCAUGUAGGAUUAGUUCAUCUACGAAUACAACGGCAAAUAAGGACAACCAAGCUACUUUACCUUUCAAAAUCAAAACAGAAGCUUCUGGCUUAACAGAAGCCAGACCUAUUGAUGAUCCAAAUCACGCCAGUCCUAAGUUUUCUUUGGAUGGAGAUCAGCAGCGAAGAGGAUGUCACAUGAUGGAAGGAUAUCAUGGACAUUCCCUUGGUAUUUGUCACCCUACUGCUGUCAAGGAAGAACAUUGCCUUCAGUUACAUCCUGCUCGCGAUGCUGAGGUAUCUUCAACAGCUUCUUAUACUGCAAAUUCUUUGCUGGAAAAGAAACAAGAACAAGUGGAUGCAAUUGCUGCAGCUGAGGCCAGGAAGAGGAGAAAGGAGCUUACAAAGCUAAAAAGCAUUCACAGUCGCCAAUGUCGGUUGCAAUGUUGACUAAUAAGUCAACUUAAUUAAAAGAUUUAAGGGGAAUCAAUGAUAUAUCCGUUACCAGCGCUUCUGCGAUUGCUUAUCACUUGAUAAAAGAAGUCAUUUGAAAUUGAGCAGAACACCUGGGCGAAACAGGGGAGGCCAGUGAAGGAAGAGAUGCAAAGUUCAAAACGUUUUUGACAGCGUUAAAGGUUUGAGAUUAUCUACUUCCAUUGUGGUUUCCUAUUUUCUUUUUUUAGGAAGGUUGCCAGAAAUUUCGGCGAUCAUUUUUUUUUUAAAUUUUCGGUAGAUAAUGCUUUGAGGAUAAUUCAGGCAUUUCAAUAAACAAACAGCACAUGCAGGAGGAUGGACAGGAUACGGAUUUUUUUUGUUAAUCCCGUCAUUGAGAUUUCUUUCAGCGGCAAACAAAUUCUUGAGAAUGUAGAGCUCGAAAUACACUCGUACAGUUAGCCAGUUAUCGAAUGGUAUGCUAUGGAGUUGGAGUUGGCAUUUGUCAUCCUAGUCUUGGGCCUCAGCCAAUGUUCAAGUUGCUUGGAUUGUUUCAUUUUCAUUUUUUCAUGCGCUGAUCUUAUCUUAGAAUGUAUAAUGGUUAAUGGCUUGAAAAACAAUGUAGGGAUCACCAGUCAAACCUUCGCCCGAAACAAACCCCCCCCCCAAAAAAAACCCGAAAAAAAAAAGAAGAAGAAGUGAAAAAAAAGAAAGAAGUUAAAGCCAAUUGCAAAACUGGACCUCGUUGUAUCCUGAUGAAAACGAAAAACGAAAUUCUUCGAAAGUUAGUUUUUUGAGGUUAUGAAGGCGGGGUGGAAGAAGCUUAAGUUCCACGGGGUGGAGAAGGCGGCCUAUAUACAAUAAUAGGACUUCUAACGUUGUGUCUAGAGUCACUCCAUUCGAGCAAUGCGUAAUAUAUCCGCGUCUCCUUUGGCAUUGGAGGCCCGUACAUCACGACCUUGAAUAUCUUCGUUUGGUGCAACUGAGAAAACUGCAACGUAUCUGGUAUAACUCGCACAGAAAGACCCCUAGGUGCCGUGACUUUAGCCUUGUACGUUGAAUUCCCAUAUCCCACAUUAGUCACCGUUCGAUGAAACACUGCCGAGAUGCUAGAAUUAUGAGCCAUGAGGUGGAUAUGCAUGGUGGGGUAGUUGAUUCCAUCGCUGCCAGGCUGAGGCUUAACGGUGGAGCAAUUGACCCUUUUGCUUCCAACUAGCAGACCAAUGACGGUGUUGUUGUAACCGCGUUUGCAUAAGAAAGAAACAUAAGAGUCUAUUCCAAUGUCGUACACCAGUCCAGGAUGCACGGCUCCUGUUGGAUUAAUCUGUCCUGAGCCAGCUCCCAGCUCCACCAGCUUGUCUCGACCAAUUUUCAUUGGGGUGGCUGAAUCGUAGAGAUGAAAGUUAUAGGUUAGAAAGUGAAGAAGUCGAUAAUGGCCGCUUGGAUGGAAGAGAAAUUUAUACUAAUGGAGAUUCUUAUUCUCACCGGUGGUCAUGAGGGCAGAUUUGAUAGCAGCAGGAGUCCAGUCUGGGUGGAAGGACUUGACAUAAGCAGCAGCUGCAGUGACAUGUGGGCAAGACAUAGAUGUUCCCGAUAGUAUGUUGAAGACGUUGUGCCUCAUGUCUUCCGGGUACCCUGUUAUCGUUGUCAGUUUGGAAUAAGCGGCCAAUAUGUCCACUCCCGGAGCAACUAAGUCAGGCUGUGCACAGAGAACGUAGAAACUUACAGUUGUUAAACCAGAGGAAGCAAGAUAUACAUGUACAUUUAUAAAUAUACCCCCCACACACACACACACAUAUGGAGAGAGAGAGAGAGAGAGAUCACCUUGAGGAUGUGAGGGCUGAGAAUAUGAGGACCUCUGGAUGAGAAGGAAGCAAGAAAAGGAGCUGGGACUCUUCUAGUUGUUGUCUUGUGUAUAAUAGCUCGAGGAUUCCUGAAUUUGUUUAAUCUUAUUCAGACUUGAAGUUCCAGUAUAAUCAGUUUAGCUAAUGGCCUAAAAAGUGCUAGUGAAUGAAA